UGGAAAAAUCUACCAUCUCUCUCACAAGUAUAAUAGAAACACACUCUCUUCCAAAUUUUCAAGGUUGGGUUCUUUUGACUUCUCUCAUUCUACGAACUCUCUCUCAACAUGGGUUUUGCAAUCUCAGGGUUAUGACAAAAUCCGAGUUGAAUAAGUUGUGUAUGGAUGAGAAUGAUUCAAUGAUCAAUGCGGAAGUGCGAUGCAAGCAUGGAAUCUUAUUGCAACUGCAGACGUCUUGGUCAGAUCGCAAUCUCGGAAGAUGAUUUUGGUCUUGUCUUCACUUAUGAGGCCACAAACUGUAAUUUUUUUAGAUGGAGAGACAAGGAGAGAGUCAAUGAAAGAUCUCGAUUUAUUCUAACGAAAUUGGUGAAUAGGAUUAAGGAGUUAGAAGAAAAAUAUGAGCGUGUGAAUAUGCAAUUGGAACAGCUUGAUAAUUCCAACAUUGAACAGUCAAAACAAGAAAAAAUUCCUUUGGAUAAAGGUGAAAGUCUUCAAAAUCGUUAUGAAAAUCUCAACAUCAAUCAAAGGAGAAGGGUCGUGAUGUAAAAGAAAUGGAUGAUUUGAAAGAGAAGAAGAUGAAAGGGAUGAAAAUGAAGAAAAAUGAUGAAGGCUGUCGUUGUUUUGGAAAAUUCCUUUGUUGUUUGAUGAUUUGUUUUGUUGUUACAUUUGUUAGCUUUCUAACCCAAGUUGGUAGGUUGAAGGAUCAAAUAAAAUUGCCAUAAUUUUUUGUGGUAUUGAAA